AAACAGCUCUCACGUCAUCAGGACAUGAGAGCUCGGUAAAAUCUUCAGUGCAAGCGCUCUGCAGACAGGGUGCUGCGUUCAGGGGGAAAAUGGAUAUGUGAACAAGGAGGGCAGAUAAGGCCCCUUCCUCCGGAACCCAAAUCAAGGCUGCCGGCGGGGGACCCACCUAGCGGCCGACAACUCGGCGGCAAGAAAACCUAAAAAAGACCAAUAGGGGAGAUCCUCCUUUUAUACAGAAGCAGCCGGAAGGACAUUAUACAGCAGUGCUGAUCAGUGUAGCCUGAAAUUCAGCUUCUGGGAUUUAGCAUUAUGAAAAGGAAGCAAAGCCAACAAUGAAGCAGAGCUUAAAGGUGCUGUGUUUGGAAGAAGAAAUACAAGCAAAGGAAUUAUCACUCAGGCGUAAAAAAAAAAAAAAAACAUAUUUACAUUACAAUUAAAUGAAUUGGGAUACUCCAUUACAAAAGCAAAGCCA